UUCUAUUGGGGGCAGCAGUGGGAAUUCUAGACAAUGCGCGCAAGCCUGAUCUAGCCAUUCCGCGUGAGUGAUGAAGGCCUUAGGGUCGUAAAGAUCUUUCCCCAGCGAUGAUAAUGACAGUAUCUGUUAAAGAAACCCCGGUAACUUACGUGCCAGCAGCCGCGGUAAUACGGAGGGGGUCAGCGUUUUUCGGAAUUACUGGGCUAAAGCGCACGUAGGCGGAUUAUAAAUUUGGGGUAAAUCCCAGGGCUCAACCCGGGAUACGCCUUUAAACUCCCAGUGUAGAGUUUGAGAGAGGUGAGUGGAAUUCCGAGUGUAGAGGUGUAAUAUCGAUGAUAUUUGGAGGAACAUCCAGUGGCGAAGACGGCUCCUCUGGAUAGAUACUCACAGCUGAGAGUGCAGAAAGUGUGGGGAGCACACAGGAUUAGAUAUCCCUGGUAUUCCACACCCUAAACGAUGGAAGCCAUAUCGUGCGGGGCUUUAUGCCCGUUCAGGUGUCACAAGCUAACGAACUAAGGAUUCCGCACUGGGG
rnacentral:rRNA from 1 species